CGGUCCUAAGGUAGCGAAAUUCCUUGUCGGGUAAGUUCCGACCUGCACGAAUGGCGUAAUGAUGGCCAGGCUGUCUCCACCCGAGACUCAGUGAAAUUGAACUCGCUGUGAAGAUGCAGUGUACCCGCGGCAAGACGGAAAGACCCCGUGAACCUUUACUAUAGCUUGACACUGAACAUUGAGCCUUGAUGUGUAGGAUAGGUGGGAGGCUUUGAAGUGUGGACGCCAGUCUGCAUGGAGCCGACCUUGAAAUACCACCCUUUAAUGUUUGAUGUUCUAACGUUGGCCCGUAAUCCGGGUUGCGGACAGUGUCUGGUGGGUAGUUUGACUGGGGCGGUCUCCUCCUAAAGAGUAACGGAGGAGCACGAAGGUUGGCUAAUCCUGGUCGGACAUCAGGAGGUUAGUGCAAUGGCAUAAGCCAGCUUGACUGCGAGCGUGACGGCGCGAGCAGGUGCGAAAGCAGGUCAUAGUGAUCCGGUGGUUCUGAAUGGAAGGGCCAUCGCUCAACGGAUAAAAGGUACUCCGGGGAUAACAGGCUGAUACCGCCCAAGAGUUCAUAUCGACGGCGGUGUUUGGCACCUCGAUGUCGGCUCAUCACAUCCUGGGGCUGAAGUAGGUCCCAAGGGUAUGGCUGUUCGCCAUUUAAAGUGGUACGCGAGCUGGGUUUAGAACGUCGUGAGACAGUUCGGUCCCUAUCUGCCGUGGGCGCUGGAGAACUGAGGGGGGCUGCUCCUAGUACGAGAGGACCGGAGUGGACGCAUCACUGGUGUUCGGGUUGUCAUGCCAAUGGCACUGCCCGGUAGCUAAAUGCGGAAGAGAUAAGUGCUGAAAGCAUCUAAGCACGAAACUUGCCCCGAGAUGAGUUCUCCCUGAGACUUAGAGUCUCCUGAAGGAACGUUGAAGACGACGACGUUGAUAGGCCGGGUGUGUAAGCGCAGCGAUGCGUUGAGCUAACCGGUACUAAUGAACCGUGAGGCUUAACCUU
rnacentral:rRNA from 1 species